UACGUAGGGUGCGAGCGUUUGUCCGGAAUUACUGGGCGUAAAGAGCUCGUAGGUGGUUUGUCGCGUUGUUCGUGAAAACUCACAGCUCAACUGUGGGCGUGCGGGCGAUACGGGCAGACUGGAGUACUGCAGGGGAGACUGGAAUUCCUGGUGGAGCGGUGAAAUGCGUAGAGAUCGGAAAGAACACCAACGGCGAAAGCACUCUGCUGGGCCGACACUGACACUGAGAGACGAAAGCUAGGGGAGCGAAUGG
rnacentral:rRNA from 1 species